rnacentral:rRNA from 1 species
UACAGAGGGUGCGAGCGUUAAUCGGAAUUACUGGGCGUAAAGGGCGCGUAGGCGGUAAAGUGUGUGGGAUGUGAAAGCCCUGGGCUUAACCUAGGAAGCGCAUACCAAACUACUUAACUAGAGUAGAGGAGAGGGUGGUGGAAUUUCCGGUGUAGCGGUGAAAUGCGUAGAGAUCGGAAGGAACGUCAAUGGCGAAGGCAGCCACCUGGCCUCAUACUGACGCUGAGGCGCGAAAGCGUGGGGAGCGAACAGG